rnacentral:tRNA from 1 species
GUCUUCGCGGUGCAACGGGAGCACACUCGGUUAGUAUUCGAGAGGUCCAAGGUUCGAAUCCCGGCGAGGACA